rnacentral:tRNA from 1 species
GCGGUUGUAGUGGAAAGGUACAACGUCUGCCUGCCGUGCAGAAAGUGCGAGUUCGAUUCUCGCCAGCCGCU